UUAAGCGACUAAGCGUACACGGUGGAUGCCCUGGCAGUCAGAGGCGAUGAAGGACGUGCUAAUCUGCGAUAAGCGUCGGUAAGGUGAUAUGAACCGUUAUAACCGGCGAUUUCCGAAUGGGGAAACCCAGUGUGAUUCGUCACACUAUCAUUAACUGAAUCCAUAGGUUAAUGAGGCGAACCGGGGGAACUGAAACAUCUAAGUACCCCGAGGAAAAGAAAUCAACCGAGAUUCCCCCAGUAGCGGCGAGCGAACGGGGAGGAGCCCAGAGCCUGAAUCAGUGUGUGUGUUAGUGGAAGCGUCUGGAAAGGCGCGCGAUACAGGGUGACAGCCCCGUACACAAAAAUGCACAUGCUGUGAGCUCGAUGAGUAGGGCGGGACACGUGGUAUCCUGUCUGAAUAUGGGGGGACCAUCCUCCAAGGCUAAAUACUCCUGACUGACCGAUAGUGAACCAGUACCGUGAGGGAAAGGCGAAAAGAACCCCGGCGAGGGGAGUGAAAAAGAACCUGAAACCGUGUACGUACAAGCAGUGGGAGCACAGAGCAAUCUGUGUGACUGCGUACCUUUUGUAUAAUGGGUCAGCGACUUAUAUUCUGUAGCAAGGUUAACCGAAUAGGGGAGCCGAAGGGAAACCGAGUCUUAACUGGGCGUUAAGUUGCAGGGUAUAGACCCGAAACCCGGUGAUCUAGCCAUGGGCAGGUUGAAGGUUGGGUAACACUAACUGGAGGACCGAACCGACUAAUGUUGAAAAAUUAGCGGAUGACUUGUGGCUGGGGGUGAAAGGCCAAUCAAACCGGGAGAUAGCUGGUUCUCCCCGAAAGCUAUUUAGGUAGCGCCUCGUGAAUUCAUCUCCGGGGGUAGAGCACUGUUUCGGCAAGGGGGUCAUCCCGACUUACCAACCCGAUGCAAACUGCGAAUACCGGAGAAUGUUAUCACGGGAGACACACGGCGGGUGCUAACGUCCGUCGUGAAGAGGGAAACAACCCAGACCGCCAGCUAAGGUCCCAAAGUCAUGGUUAAGUGGGAAACGAUGUGGGAAGGCCCAGACAGCCAGGAUGUUGGCUUAGAAGCAGCCAUCAUUUAAAGAAAGCGUAAUAGCUCACUGGUCGAGUCGGCCUGCGCGGAAGAUGUAACGGGGCUAAACCAUGCACCGAAGCUGCGGCAGCGACACUAUGUGUUGUUGGGUAGGGGAGCGUUCUGUAAGCCUGCGAAGGUGUGCUGUGAGGCAUGCUGGAGGUAUCAGAAGUGCGAAUGCUGACAUAAGUAACGAUAAAGCGGGUGAAAAGCCCGCUCGCCGGAAGACCAAGGGUUCCUGUCCAACGUUAAUCGGGGCAGGGUGAGUCGACCCCUAAGGCGAGGCCGAAAGGCGUAGUCGAUGGGAAACAGGUUAAUAUUCCUGUACUUGGUGUUACUGCGAAGGGGGGACGGAGAAGGC
rnacentral:rRNA from 1 species